rnacentral:rRNA from 1 species
UUGGCCUUGACAUGCUGAGAACUUUCCAGAGAUGGAUUGGUGCCUUCGGGAACUCAGACACAGGUGCUGCACGGCUGUCGUCAGCUCGUGUCGUGAGAUGUUGGGUUAAGUCCCGUAACGAGCGCAACCCUUGUCCUUAGUUACCAGCACGUUAUGGUGGGCACUCUAAGGAGACUGCCGGUGACAAACCGGAGGAAGGUGGGGAUGACGUCAAGUCAUCAUGGCCCUUACGGCCAGGGCUACACACGUGCUACAAUGGUCGGUACAAAGGGUUGCCAAGCCGCGAGGUGGAGCUAAUCCCAUAAAACCGAUCGUAGUCCGGAUCGCAGUCUGCAACUCGACUGCGUGAAGUCGGAAUCGCUAGUAAUCGUGAAUCAGAACGUCACGGUGAAUACGUUCCCGGGCCUUGUACACACCGCCCGUCACACCAUGGGAGUGGGUUGCUCCAGAAGUAGCUAGUCUAACCCUCGGGAGGACGGUUACCACGGAGUGAUUCAUGACUGGGGUGAAGUCGUAACAAGGUAAGCGUAGUGCU